rnacentral:lncRNA from 1 species
AAGCAGCUCCCAAGAUAUAUUAAGGUGUAAAUAAAGAUGAGAGUGAGAACAUUGGAAUAAUACAGAAAUCUGAACAUGGGACGCUUUCAGACAGGAAGGAGUGUCAUAAUGUUGUCUGUGAAGUCCAGUAACCACACUGUUGUCUGUGAAGCCCAGUAACCACACUGUUGUCUAUGAAGCCCAGUAACCAGACUGUUGUCUGUGAAGUCCAGUAACCUCAGAAAGGGUCCUGUCUGUCUCAGCUGUAAUACCAGUCUACAGGGUAACAGUCUGGUGGUCCAGUCUACAUGGUAACAGUCUGCUGGUCCAGUCUACAGGGUAACAGUCUGCUGGUCCAGUCUACAGGGUAGGAGGGGAACAGUCUACAUGGUAGGAGGGUAACAGUCUGGUGGUCCAGUCUACAGGGUAACAGUCUGCUGGUCCAGUCUACAGGGUAACAGUCUGCUGGUCCAGUCUACAGGGUAACAGUCUGGUGGUCCAGUCUACAGGGUAACAGUCUGGUGGUCCAGUCUACAGGGUAACAGUCUGGUGGUCCAGUCUACAGGGUAACAGUCUGGUGGUCCAGUCUACAGGGUAACAGUCUGGUGGUCCAGUCUACAGGGUAACAGUCUGCUGGUCCAGUCUACAGGGUAACAGUCUGCUGGUCCAGUCUACAGGGUAACAGUCUGGUGGUCCAGUCUACAGGGGUAACAGUCUGGUGGUCCAGUCUACAGGGUAACAGUCUGGUGGUCCAGUCUACAGGGUAACAGUCUGGUGGUCCAGUCUACAGGGUAACAGUCUGGUGGUCCAGUCUACAGGGUAACAGUCUGCUGGUCCAGUCUACAGGGUAACAGUCUGGUGGUCCAGUCUACAGGGUAACAGUCUGGUGGUCCAGUCUACAGGGUAACAGUCUGCUGGUCCAGUCUACAUGGUUUAGCUUAUAAAACGGUCCAGAAACACAGAAAGGCGUUAAAAUGAAUUUCCAUUUAACAGUCAAUAAGACAAGUUAGUAAACAACAACAGUUUGUCUGUCAGGUGUCCUGCCGUCCCUGUUGGUUAGUAAAGUGUCCCAACGGUGGCCUGUCUAGGACAGGUCAGUUACAGACAGACAGACAGGUUGUGUAGUCUAGGACAGGUCAGUUCCAGACAGACAGACAGGUUGUGUAGUCUAGGACAGGUCCGUUACAGACAGACAGGUUGUGUAGUCUAGGACAGAUCAGUUACAGACAGACAGGUUGUGUAGUCUAGGACAGGUCAGUUCCAGACAGACAGACAGGUUGUGUAGUCUAGGACAGGUCAGUUCCAGACAGACAGACAGGUUGUGUAGUCUAGGACAGGUCAGUUCCAGACAGACAGACAGGUUGUGUAGUCUAGGACAGGUCCGUUACAGACAGACAGGUUGUGUAGUCUAGGACAGGUCAGUUACAGACAGACAGACAGGUUGUGUAGUCUAGGACAGGUCAGUUCCAGACAGACAGACAGGUUGUGUAGUCUAGGACAGGUCAGUUCCAGACAGACAGACAGGUUGUGUAGUCUAGGACAGGUCCGUUACAGACAGACAGGUUGUGUAGACUAGGACAGGUCCGUUACAGACAGGUUGUGUAGUCUAGGACAGGUCCGUUCCAGACAGACAGUCUAGGACAGGUCAACGACAGACAGGCUGUGUAGUGACAGACAGCUGAUAUGAACAGUGAUUAGAGUGUAGUAAUAACAAUAGAAAAGAUAAUUACGACAGUGACAUUAAAGACCUAACAUUUAUCCCCCGUUAACCACAGUCCUGGAAUCAGAUGUUAACUCCUGUCUCUACAUAGUGGAGGUUAGGACCCCCUGUUAACCACAGUCCUGGAAUCAGAUGUUAACUCCUGUCUCUACAUAGUGGAGGUUAGGACCCCCGUUAACCACAGUCCUGGAAUCAGAUGUUAACUCCUGUCUCUACAUAGUGGAGGUUAGGGGACCCCCUGUUAACCACAGUCCUGGAAUCAGAUGUUAACUCCUGUCUCUACAUAGUGGAGGUUAGGGACCCCCGUUAACCACAGUCCUGGAAUCAGAUGUUAACUCCUGUCUCUACAUAGUGGAGGUUAGGACCCCCGUUAACCACAGUCCUGGAAUCAGAUGUUAACUCCUGUCUCUACAUAGUGGAGGUUAGGGGACCCCCUGUUAACCACAGUCCUGGAAUCAGAUGUUAACUCCUGUCUCUACAUAGUGGAGGUUAGGGACCCCCUGUUAACCACAGUCCUGGAAUCAGAUGUUAACUCCUGUCUCUACAUAGUGGAGGUUAGGGACCCCCUGUUAACCACAGUCCUGGAAUCAGAUGUUAACUCCUGUCUACAUAGUGGAGGUUAGGGACCCCCCGUUAACCACAGUCCUGGAAUCAGAUGUUAACUCCCGUCUCUACAUAGUGGAGGUUAGGGACCCCCGUUAACCACAGUCCUGGAAUCAGAUGUUAACUCCUGUCUACAUAGUGGAGGUUAGGGACCCCCGUUAACCACAGUCCUGGAAUCAGAUGUUAACUCCUGUCUACAUAGUGGAGGUUAGACCCCCGUUAACCACAGUCCUGGAAUCAGAUGUUAACUCCUGUCUCUACAUAGUGGAGGUUAGGACCCCCGUUAACCACAGUCCUGGAAUCAGAUGUUAACUCCUGUCUCUACAUAGUGGAGGUUAGGGACCCCCCGUUAACCACAGUCCUGGAAUCAGAUGUUAACUCCCGUCUCUACAUAGUGGAGGUUAGGACCCCCGUUAACCACAGUCCUGGAAUCAGAUGUUAACUCCCGUCUCUACAUAGUGGAGGUUAGGGACCCCCCGUUAACCACAGUCCUGGAAUCAGAUGUUAACUCCUGUCUCUACAUAGUGGAGGUUAGACCCCCGUUAACCACAGUCCUGGAAUCAGAUGUUAACUCCUGUCUCUACAUAGUGGAGGUUAGGGACCCCCGUUAACCACAGUCCUGGAAUGAGAUGUUAACUCCUGUCUCUACAUAGUGGAGGUUAGGACCCCCCGUUAACCACAGUCCUGGAAUCAGAUGUUAACUCCUGUCUACAUAGUGGAGGUUAGACCCCCGUUAACCACAGUCCUGGAAUCAGAUGUUAACUCCUGUCUACAUAGUGGAGGUUAGACCCCCGUUAACCACAGUCCUGGAAUCAGAUGUUAACUCCUGUCUCUACAUAGUGGAGGUUAGACCCCCCGUUAACCACAGUCCUGGAAUCAGAUGUUAACUAGGUUAAGGGAUCUGAUGCUAGAUAGACAGAAAGGUUCAACCUCCUCGUUAUUCCGUCGACCCCCAGACAGGGGGGGGGGGCCCUGAUGAACUCCAGACAGGGGGGGGGGCCCUAAUGAACUCCAGACAGUUGUACAAUAACAGAUGUCAACAGAAACCAAAUCCCUUGUGUCUUUCACUCCCAAAUAAACACCGUCUCUCCCUCUUUCUGAGAAAGUUGAUCCACUCCGGUCACCAGUUCAUAUAUACACGCUGACCUCAGGGGUUAAAGUUCAUGUACAUAUUGACCUCAGGGGUUAAAGUUCAUAUACACGUUGACCUCGGGGUUGCUGUGUGUCAGGGUCAUAGGUCAGGGUCCUAAGCAGUGACCUCAGAAGUUGUGGCCGGUAACGGGAGGAGGGACACAGUGUACCGGACAGUGGAGUCGUCUCCAGCUAAGGACUAACGGUGAAGCAACAGUCACAGCUAAAUGAGCAUGUGCAAAAUCCCUGCUUAGUACACACACACACCCCUCACCGGGGCUGUAGAAGUUUAGUUAGAUUCACUCUGUGAUCAGAGACGAGCUUUAAAAAAACAGUCAGAACAGCCAGGAAUACUGUCUACAGGACACAGUCUCUGAGCUGAGAGAGGAGAGGGGGAAGAGAGAGAGAGAGAGAGAGCGGGAAGAGAGAGAGAGAGAGAGGAGCGGGGAAGAGAGAGAGAGAGGAGCGGGGAAGAGAGAGAGAGAGAGGAGCGGGGAAGAGAGAGAGAGAGAGGAGCGGGGAAGAGAGAGAGAGAGAGGAGCGGGAAGAGAGAGAGAGAGAGGAGCGGGGAAGAGAGAGAGAGAGGAGAGGGGAAGAGAGAGAGAGAGGAGAGGGGAAGAGAGAGAGAGAGGAGAGGGGAAGAGAGAGAGAGAGAGCGGAAGAGAGAGGAGCGGGGAAGAGAGAGAGAGAGAGGGAAGAGAGAGGAGCGGGGAAGAGAGAGAGAGAGAGGAGAGAGAGAGAGGAGCGGGAAGAGAGAGAGAGAGGAAGAGAGAGAGAGGAGGGGAAGAGAGAGAGAGAGAGGGAAGAGAGAGAGAGGAGCGGGGAAGAGAGAGAGAGGAGCGGGGAAGAGAGAGAGAGGAGCGGGGAAGAGAGAGAGAGAGAGGAAACGGGAAGAGAGAGAGGAAACGGGAAGAGAGAGAGGAGAGGAAACGGGAAGAGAGAGAGGAGAGGAAACGGGAAGAGAGAGAGGAGAGGAAACGGGAAGAGAGAGAGGAGAGGAAACGGGAAGAGAGAGAGGAGAGGAAACGGGAAGAGAGGAAACGGCGAGGUGGAAAGACUGAGGAGAGGAUUCCAGGGGUGUUGUCGAGGUGUUCCCUCACAACAGGAAGGGGUUGGUGGUCCCAGGAGGAUGUGUGCCCGCUGUGGGGGGCAGAGCUGAACUGAACAGGGGCUGGGACAUAGACACAGAGGUUGGGAUACCCCCCAUCCCUCCAAUCCCGGGGACCAUGUGGCCCGUCAGGGGGACCAUCCCCAGGGGCUGGGGUGGUGGCAAGGAGGAGAGGGGCAGAGGGUCUGCCAUGGAGGACAAGCUGCUAAACCCUGCACCACCUCCCAGACUCAGGCCUGGCAUAGGGCUGAUCCUCAUCUGGUUUAAGGUAGGGGGUUAGGCUGGCCCA